GAUGGUGGUGAUGGAGCGGGCAGGAUGUGAAGCGGACAGGACAUCUGCCUGUUCGGCCCCUGGGAGCCCCUGUGGCUUCACCUCUGAGCAUCUUCUCCAACUCCGUGAAGGAUUUAAACACACACAGAAAUUAAUCUGCUGGAUAAAACCUUUUCUUCAUGGUCUCCCAUUAAUCACCUGCCCUUCCUAUGUUUCCUUGUAGGAAAAUAGAUUUUUAAACUUGUCAGAUGUGGUUUUGUGGGAUUCAUUUUGUGCCUUUUCUGGCUGUUCUUCUGAGGGAGACAAUUAACUGGUGUUUUAAAGAUGUAGAGUGCUCAUUACUGUACUUAGCUAAUAGAUGUGAGUUAUGUAACUAUUGGAUGUGCUUAGGGUAUUAAAUAUAGAUUUUUAUUUUGGGAUAUUAGGUUUCCCAGCAAGGCAGAGGAUUGACACAGCUGAAAAUUUGGUUCCCGGUCAUAUGUCAAGUCCUUCCCGAGGCUGCCGGGACACCUGGACGUGCCGGCUGCAGGAAGCAGAGAGCAGCCCUGCGUUUGUGGGCUCCGAGGAGCUGGUGGCAUCGGGGACCACCCGCGGACCCUUCCCUGCAACAAGGUUGAUGCGAGGUCUGCCAAGGUGCUGCUCAGCCCCUGCCACUCGAGGUGAGGACCGGAGCAGGGACAUUGGCAGGAGUGUCCCCUCCCAGGGACCGGCACCGCAUCCCUGCAGAACAGGGACCGGCACCGCAUCCCUGCAGACCAAGGACCAGCACUGCAUCCCUAUGGAACAGGGACCAGCACUGCAUUCCUGCAGACCAAGGACUGGCACUGCAUCCCUAUGGAACAGGGACCGGCACUGCAUCCCUGCAGACCAAGGACCGGCACUGCAUCCCUGCAGACCAAGGACUGGCACUGCAUCCCUAUGGAACAGGGACCAGCACUGCAUCCCUGCAGACCAAGGACCAGCACCGCAUCCCUAUGGAACAGGGACCGGCACCGCAUCCCUAUGGAACAGAGACCAGCACCGCAUCCCCUGCCCAGGGACUCACAACUCGACCACACCAUUCAUCACACAGUCCUGGUAUCACGGCUGGCCUGUUACCCGUGAACGGCCACACGAAGUGGGGAUCGAUGGAGCAGCUGCCCGGAACCCACGGAAUCACCUGUUGCCCCAUUGGAGACCAGGACAGCGCCCACGAUGCCACCGACCCCAAAUCCCCAGCCUGACACCCACCCUGCGGACACCCUGAUGUCCCCAGCACCCACAGCAGCAGCUCUGCGCAGAGGAACCCCCCCAGGCAAGUCGUGCUUGCCUUCAAAUAGUUCCAUAAUCACAGUAUUUCAUUCUCAUGAGUGACGGCUGGCGUGUUUUUAUCACGGCUAUGGGUCCUGCCCACAGACCUGCUGCCGGGUCCAAGCACCCGUGUGCCGGCACUGCCCUGGGGACAAAGAAUGAUGGCCUUGGAGGGGUACCCUAAAAUGAGAUGCCUUCUUCUGGUACACCAGCAAACACAUCUGGGGAGCUCCAGGUUGGGGUCAGCCUCAGAGGUUGAGAUUUCCUAGCAGGCAACACGUUUUUCCCCAGGCUGAAGUGCGUAUGGCAGCGGAGGAGCACAGAGUUUCACCGCAGCAAAUUGCUCCGCAGUCCAGACUCGGGCCCUGAAGCGGCCGGCUCGUCAGCAGUGAGAUUUGCACUCAGCCUGAGGAUUUCCGUGUUGGUUUAUCCACAUCUGCACCCUGUGCCAGUCACACCCUCAACCUUUCCUCCCUGAGCAAGAGACAAGCGGGAGACAAGAUUCCUGUGUAACCAUUCUACCUACUGCAAAUUAAACACGAAGGUGGUUCUUAUCAGUUUUGCCAUUAAUGACAGUGAUACCAGAAAUGAGCAUUAAUUGAUUUUUCACUGAUAUCUUUCCCUCCCACAAUUACGGAGCUGCCUUCGAGUGUAAAAUACUGGAGCCAACGUGCUAAAAAGUUCCUCCUCCUGAAAUCGCUGGUCUGCUCACUGCUGUUAUCCCCAUCCCUGGCGCGAGCAACAAUCCCAGCCACUAAGGCACUUCUCUGGCUCCUAAGUAAUGCUUUUGUGCUAAAAAGAAAGCACCGAAGGAGCUUUUAAAUCCAGUAUCCAACCCUUAAAGCAUCAUCUGAGACAAGCGGACUUUCUGUUUGCAUUCAUUUGUAGCCUGCUCUAGAAAUUGCCUAUUGAAUUACUAUUUCUUAUGCCUGCUUAAAUAAAUAGGCAUAUUUGUUAUUGCUGUUGAAAGUUCCAUGUUUGGCCUUUUUAAGUCAUUUGAUUAGGAAGUCGAGAGAAUAUUUUAGCAGCAAAGAAGGCACUGACAAUCAGCACGAGUAGGAAUAAUCCAAUUUUCUUUGCAAAGAAGGGCAAGGGUCCUCCUAGGAGGUCAAAGCUCCCCUAGCACAAUUAGAACUUUAAUUAAUGAAAUUGGCUGAGCUUAUUUGUCCGUGCCCGGCAGAGACGGGGGCGGGGGGCUGUCCGGCCGUGCAGGGCGUGCGGAGCCCCGGCCCGCCGCAGCCCCUCGCUCUGGAGAUGCAGCUUCGCGGCUCUUUGUUCAAGGCCGGGAGCAAAGCUGGCCCUCCGCAGCGGCGCUGUGACGAGCGCCACGACCCGCGCUGUGUCGUGCUGUUCAGACACGCUGUCUGCAAUUAAUAUUGCAUAGUGGCCUCCUGAUUCCUAAAUUAUGUAUUUCUCCUUCUCAGCAUCAUGUGUUUUUUACAGGGUUAAUUAUUUUCCAUCAUUCUGCCUUUAGCAACAGUCGACUUAAUUAAGGGGGCCAAGUUCCGCUCUCAUUUCUGCCUGGCGGAUCCUAAUGAAAUCAAUGGAGCCGCACGGUGUAAAGGGGAGAGGGACGGUGGCCAUCUACGUACAAAUAAAACGUUCCCUCUCUUGGUGAUUAAUGCAUAAAAUUAAACCAAGGCCUAAUCUCCAUCUUUAGACCAUCACGGAGUAAAUUAGUGCAAACCCCGCCUUGGAGCGGCUUUUCCAUGUGCGGUUCCACUCCUGCGCGUUCCCCUCCAGCGCUGGGACCGCCGAGGGGGAAGGACCAGGAGAGGGAUGCUCCGGUGGCCCCAGCCCUGUGACACCGCUGCUGAGGCCACCAGAUAAACCGAGGGACCCCCCAGAGCCGACCCCCCUCGUGCCGCGAGGGGUUGUUUAGGGGCUGCUGCUGUGCCUGGCCAGCGCCACGCUGCAGCUCCCAACCCACCUCAUCCCCCGGGAUUAAUUUUUACACAAUCAUUCCGGAGUCUGUGAUAAUCACUCCAUAAAAAAAUGAAGAG